GGACAGAUGCCAAGUCUGCGACACCCCUCCUCUGUAACUCCUGCUGGGCCCAUGGUUUCAAGCCCUCCAAAAAGUGAAACAACUUAUCUUUUUCAGAUAUGUCUUGAAUGUCCAACAUCAAUGCCGAGAACUGCUUGACAUACUCUCGAACAGUCCCAGUUUGUUUGAGAUGCCUUAAGUUUCGUCGGGCAAUGAAUUCCACAUUCUCUGGCAAAAACUGUGCCUUAAUCUCCCUCUUCAAGUCCUCCCAGCUGGCAAUGGUACACCGCUCGGCUUGAAUGUCUUCAUACCGAGUCCGCCACCAUAAUUUGGCAUCCCCGAUUAAGUAUAUUGUAGCCAAGAUAAUUUUGGUGUCUUCAGAGUCCGCACCACUCGAAAGUACUGCUCGAUGUCGAACAAGAAGUUCUCUAACUCCUUUGCAUCACGAGCUCCACCAUAACUUCGAGGCUCUGGUGCUCGCAUUCGGCCUUGCCCACCA
rnacentral:lncRNA from 1 species